rnacentral:rRNA from 1 species
AAUCUAGUUGAUCCUGCUAGAGGCUGCUGCUCUUCCGCUACGGAUAAGCCAUGCAAGUUUCUCGCGAGAGAGCAAACUGCUCAGUAACACGUAGCUAACCUGACCUUAAGCGGAGGAUAACCUCGGGAAACUGAGGAUAAUACUUCAUAGAUUUAGAAUACUGGAAUGUUUCUAAAUUGAAACGCAAGGCUUAAGGAUGGGGCUGCGGCUGAUUAGGUUGUUGGCGGGGUAACGGCCCACCAAGCCAAAGAUCAGUAAGGGCCCUUAGCGGGGGUGCCCUGAGAAGGAUCCUGAGACACUGAUCCUAGCUCUACGGAGUGCAGCAGGCGCGAAAAUUUUACACUGCUCGAAAGAGUGAUAGAGGUAGCGGAAGUGCCUUCACUUACUAAGUGUCGGCUUUUGUUAUAUGUAAAAAGUAUAAAGAAUAAGGGCUGGGCAAGACUGGUGCCAGCCGCCGCGGUAAUACCAGCGGCUCAAGUGGGAGCCACAUUUAUUGGGUCUAAAGCAUUCGUAGCCGGUUCUGUAAAUCCCUUGUGAAAUUGUAUUGCUCAACAUUACAACGUGCUAGGGACACUGCAGAACUAGAGACCGGGAGAAGUAGACGGAAUUGUUGGGGAAGCGGUAAAAUGUUAUAAUCCCGACAGGACCACCAACGGCGAAGGCAGUCUACUAGAACGGGUCUGACGGUGAGGGAUGAAAGCUAGGGGAGCAAACCGGAUUAGAUACCCGGGUAGUCCUAGCUGUAAACACUGCACACUAAACAUCACUCUCUCCUCGUGAGAAAGUGGUGCUGAAGCGAAGGCGUUAAGUGUGCCACCUGGGGAGUACGGUCGCAAGACUGAAACUUAAAGGAAUAGGCGGGGGAGCGCUACAAGGGGUGACGCGUGCGGUUCAAUUAGAUUCCACACCGUGAAUCUCACCAGGAGCGACAGCAGGAUGAAGGUCAGUCUGAAGGGCUUACCAGACACGCUGAGAGGAGGUGCAUGGCCGACGUCAGCCUGUGUCGUGAGACGAUCUGUUAAAUCAGGUAACAGGCGAGACCCACGUCUAUAGUUGCUCACACGAUGAGUGUAGCACACUAUAGAGACUGCUUGCGUAAGCAAGAGGAAGGUGUGGGCUACGUUAGGUGAGUACGCCCCGAAUCCCCUGGGCUACACGCGCGCGGCAAUGUUACACACAAUGGGAUGCAAUCUCGAAAGAGAAAGCUAAUCUUUAAAGUGUAGCUUAGUUCAGAUUGAGGCUUGUAACCCAGCCUCAUGACGCUGGAAUCCCUAGUAAUCGGGUAUUAGCAAUGCCCGGUGAAUAAGUCCCCGUUCCUUGCACUCACCGCCCAUCAAGCCAUCCGAGUUUUGUCUAGAUGAAGUCCUUCUGGGAAUGAAUCUGAAUACGACAAGGAAGGCUAAGUUGUCACAAGGUAUCUGUAGGGGAACCUGCAGAUGGAUCACCUCCU